rnacentral:tRNA from 1 species
GCCCACGUAGCUCAGGGGAUAGAGCACUGGCCUCCGGAGCCAGGUGUCGCAGGUUCGAAUCCUGCCGUGGGCACUA